CGUAAAGCGUGCGCAGGCGGUCUGCUAAGAGAGGUGUGAAAUCCCCGGGCUUAACCUGGGAACUGCGCUUCUAACUGGUAGGCUUGAGUGUGGCAGAGGGGGGUGGAAUUCCACGUGUAGCAGUGAAAUGCGUAGAGAUGUGGAGGAACACCGAUGGCGAAGGCAGCCCCCUGGGCUAACACUGACGCUCAUGCACGAAAGCGUGGGGAGCAAACAGGAUUAGAUACCCUGGUAGUCCACGCCCUAAACUAUGUCAACUGGUUGUCGGGGAAGCAAUUCCUUGGUAACGAAGCUAACGCGUGAAGUUGACCGCCUGGGGAGUACGGCCGCAAGGUUAAAACUCAAAGGAAUUGACGGGGACCCGCACAAGCGGUGGAUUAUGUGGAUUAAUUCGAUGCAACGCGAAAAACCUUACCUACCCUUGACAUGCCAGGAAGCUCGCAGAGAUGUGAGUGUGCCCGAAAGGGAACCUGGACACAGGUGCUGCAUGGCUGUCGUCAG
rnacentral:rRNA from 1 species